rnacentral:snRNA from 1 species
GUGCUCACUUUGGCAGCACAUAUACUAAAAUUGGAAUGAUACAGAGAUUAGCAUGGCCCCUAUGCAAAGAUGACAUGCACAUUCAUGAAGAAUUCCAUAGUUUU